rnacentral:lncRNA from 1 species
CUGUAGAAUCUGCUAACCAAACUCUGGAGGAGGCACAUUUGCCAUGCUGUAAGCAGCGUGAUGGAUCUCUGGAUUGCCUAUGAAUAGUAACUAAUCACAAAACAGAAAAUUAUUGCAUACUGCAGAAGUAUCUUUAAGCAAGCACGGAUGUAAAGAGUCCAGAAGAUCCCUAUCAGAGCCAGGCUGAUGUAGAACACUUCUCUACUAGACUUUUUGUAUUUUCCAACUUUUGGAUGAAAGAGAGACGUAGCAGCAACCCAA